GAUGAAAGCAAUCAGUAUUAUUUUAUCUGCAUGUUUAAAUUUGGAAGGGAUUAAGCUUAGAAGUUGAAUAUUUUUGUGGUGUCAUUGAGUGAGCUCCAGGCUUUGGAAUCUGCUAUUCAGCUUCUCUUUCUGCCAUGUACUAUUUGGGGACAAUU